rnacentral:rRNA from 1 species
GGAGGGUGCAAGCGUUAAUCGGAAUUACUGGGCGUAAAGCGCGCGUAGGCGGUUUGGUAAGUCGGAUGUGAAAGCCCCGGGCUUAACCUGGGAAUUGCAUUCGAUACUGCCUGACUCGAGUAUGGUAGAGGGAAGUGGAAUUUCCGGUGUAGCGGUGAAAUGCGUAGAUAUCGGAAGGAACACCAGUGGCGAAGGCGACUUCCUGGGCCAAUACUGACGCUGAGGCGCGAAAGCGUGGGGAGCAAACAGGAUUAGAUACCCUGGUAGUCCACGCCGUAAACGAUGAGAACUAGAUGUCGCGAGGGUUUGCCUCGUGGUGUCGCAGCUAACGCGUUAAGUUCUCCGCCUGGGGAGUACGCCGGCAACGGUA